rnacentral:rRNA from 1 species
AUUGAACGCUGGCGGCAGGCCUAACACAUGCAAGUCGAGCGGAGCGCCGGACGGGUGAGUAAUGUCUGGGAAACUGCCUGAUGUAGGGGGAUAACUACUGUAAACGGUAGCUAUUACCCCGUACUCUCAGAUGAGCCUAGGUCGGAUUAGCUAGUUGGUGGGGUAAAGGCCUACCAAGGCGACGAUCAGUAACUGGUCUGAAAGGAGGAUCAGUCACACUGGAACUGAGACACGGUACAGACUCCUACGGGAGGCAGCAGUGGGGAAUAUUGGACAAUGGGCGAAAGCCUGAUCGAGACAUGCCGCGUGUGUGAAGAAGGUCUUAGGAUUGUAAAGCACUUGAAGUUGGGAGGCGUUACCAACAGAAUAAGCACCGGCUAACUCCGUGCCAGCCGCCGCGGUAAUAC